CUCACCGAGAAGGCCUCCUGCUUCUGGGCGAUGUUGGUGUUCUUGUCGCUCCAGUCGUACAGCAGCUCCUCCUCCUCGCAGUCGUUGAUCCACAUGAUCUCCCGGGACGUGGCCUGGAUGAUGUUCUGCAGCUGGCGCAGCUCACGAGCACUGGGUGACUCACACAACAAAGAGCCUGCACAGACCCGGCUCUGGAAGUUCACUCUGAGCCUGUUUGGACAAGGAUCACUCCCGGCUCGCUGGCAAGGCGGGGCGGGCGCCUGGAAAACCCGAAGCGGAGUCGCGUCCCCGGAGGGAGCCGGGGGGCAGAGUGCCCACCUCUGGGGGCUGACAGCAGCCCACCACCUGCAGGGGAGAGGGAGAGGGGGCUGCUGGGAAGAGAGCCCACACACUCGUCGGCUCUCAGCGGGGCGUGGGUGGGGGACACCCAGAAGGCCAGAGACACCUGAAAUACUCAGUCUAACUGCUCAGUUUGGAGAAAGACUUGGUCCUCCUGGCUGAGUGCCCAUCCUUCCCCUCCGGCUCCCCCUGUCCUCUCUCCCGCCCUCCUCAGUGUCCAUCCGUCCAUCCAGCCGCCCGCGGUCAUCCACACAUCCACCGCGCAGGAGUUCUUCCCCUCCAUCGCCCUCCCAGCCGCCUGCUCCUCCCUCCCCACCCCCUCACAGGCUCCUCCGCGUCCCCCUGCCCUGGCACAGACAGCUGCUGGGGGCCCCAGGGCCUUGUCACAUGGGCUGACUUCGGGAGUCCCACUCAAGGGCCCAGGAGAGGUGGGAAACAGCACCGUGACUAUUUCCCCCAGGAGGUUUUGCUUCUUCAUCAGCUGCCGUUUCCCAGCCUCCAGCCCCUGCCUACACUGCCCAGUGGGGAGGCCCCCGGCCCCGUCCUGCGCCCACCUGCAGACCCCCUCCCCUCGACAGCCUCACACCCGGAAGUCACCCUUCCAGGCCUGCCGGCUCAGUCGGACAGGACCUCAGCACCACGCCCGGGCCCAUAGGGCCAUCGGGACCCUCACAAAGACCCCAUCAGGGACUGUGUCUCCCGGUGCAGAAAGGGGCUUCUUGCCCCUGCGCGGUUCAGAAAGACAGUUUCUCCUCCGCUGAGCCUGUCUCUGGGGGAACUCCGAAAGCCGCGCCGGCCUCCACGCCGUGUAAACUAUGCUAGGGAGGCAGCUGCCGGCGAAUCAUUAACUCCCGGGGAAUGGCGGAGGCACCCCCAGGCCCAGAGUCCAGCCGCCCUGCAGUGUGGGGUGUGCCCACCCCAGUGGCGCCCCCCGGGAGGGCCGUCCUCCGAGCCACGGGCCCGGGCAGCCUCCUGAGCUGGCUGGGUGUUUUUCUGCCCAGCAGAACGUUGGACUUUGCCCCGUCUUUGAAUGUUAACCAUAUCCUGCAAUAAAUCGAUAGCUCAGAUACACCGCGCUUCCACAACA